GAAGAGAACGUACUGCAGGGAAGCGAUGAUGGGCUCGGGACCUCGGCAUGGGAACAGCCAACAAGUGUGCCCCAAACGUACACAAACUUCGUGGGAGAAGCAUGCAAACAAGGAUGCAUGUCAGAAGUGGAGUCGGAAGAGCCCAGGAGCUUUAUCACGGCUACUUCAUCGUCAAGAUAUGUGGAAAGCAGAGAGCACUUGGAUGCUCUGACUGUCUCUGAAGGGCAUGGCGAAGAUUAUAGCAAAGCAUCUGUCAAUGCUAACACCACUGAGCUGUCAGGAGGAGCUUCUUGGGAUUUAUGAAGAGAGCCAAAGAGGAGGAAAAGUGCAGGGGAACAAACAAUCCAAGCGAGGCUGUUCAGACCUAGAUUUUUUUUUUUUUGCUUGGGCUAAUUUCAGAAAGUGCUUCUGUUGUCAGUUGUAUGGCUCUGCAGCCUUGAGUCAAACCCUGCAGCCUGGGCUAUCUGAGUGUAAGUUAACCCCCUUGUUCCCUUUGUAAGCAGGCUGCCUUGAGAGGGAGAGAACAGCCAUUAGUCAUCUGUGAUGGAAGGUAAAAGAGGCUAUUGCUGGGCAAAGCUGGGGCAUUCAGGCAAGCCAUGGGAAGGGACUUGUCCAUGGAAGGGACUUGUGACCCACACUAGCAGCUUUUAUUCAGUGACACUUGCCCCUUCCCUUCCUUUCUACCUCCAGAAGCCUUUGGCUGUAGUGAAAUGCAAAGGCAGUAAGUAUUACCUAAGUCUUGGAAAUGGAAUAAAUGGAAUUGGACCCAGUGUUAGGGUCUGGGGAGUAUGAGUGUGACUUUUUACAUGAGGUGCAGAACACCACAGCUUUCCCCCAUGCUCCUUCAGACCCCGCUGAGGUCCAGCCUACUCACUGAAACAUGCAACCUGCAGAAGUAAGAGAAGGCUGAAGAAAAAUGAAGGCAAGAGCUUGAAUGUUGUUCUAAAAAUUAUUUUUUCUGAGGCCUGUGUCUUCACAGGUGUGCAUGCAGACUGUGAACUUGGCCCCAAAGUGCUGGGGUCAAAUGCUGUUUGCUUCCUCUUCUGGAGGCUCUGUGUGAAGAGCUGGGGUAGUGGAAAAGUCAAAGAGGAGAAGAUGCAGAGCAGUAAUAUACUUGUACAGCUGCUUGAAAUGGCAACUUCAAGGCUAACUUUCUUGACUAUUGUGCAAACUGCAUACUAUGAAAAUACUUAUGCAUCAAUAAAGUCAAUCCUGUACUGCACUUUGGGAUGGAAGGGAGAAUAAUGCUGCCUACAUGUGCACAAAUGAUAGGUGCUAAUUUAGCUGCUCCCCCUAAAGCAUUGGAGCUGUCAUAGCUCCUUCAACUGCUGUUUCAGUGUCUGCAGAGGUAAAGAACAAAACAGACUGAGGAGUUUUAUUAUUAUGAACACUGAAGAAAGGUUGGUGCCUUUAGACUAAGAAUGGCAAGUGAAGAUUAUUAGUUUUUACAACAGAGAAAUGAGUUGGCAUAAACUGACACAAAAUGUAAAUGGGAUGGGAAAGCAAGGGUAAAGGAAGAGAAGAAGAAUGGUGAAGGCUGAAUCUUGAAGAUGUUAUAUUAAGUGUGCUUAAUAAUAUUCAGUUUGGGAAAAUGAUCCUUUUCCUGGUCUUCCCUUUCAUCAAGGUGAGGGUUUCUCUGCAUUUUGUUUGUGGAGAUGUAAUUUAUUGUGACUAUAGGAUGUAUUAGUUGCACAGAAGCAUUUUUCCUGGGCAGACACUUGAAGGUCUAGAACUUGUUCUCUACCUACUUUCAAAAUUAAGCAGUGCCUCUGCAGAGAACAGUUUUCAGAUAAUAGCUGUUCUGUGUAGACCCUUGUCAGCUUGCAUCACACAACUGCUGAGGGCUAAUGCUCUGCAGAAGAGCACCCAUUUAACUAACCCUCGCUCUUAGAUAAGGGUUUAUGUGUAUGAUCAUCAUUGCUCUUAUACUAGAAAAAUAUCCGUCUGCCAAAACACCGAAACUUGAACAACAUUGCCUCUUUAUAAUGAAAUAAGCCAGCAAUUUUUCAGGAAAAGUUCUUUAAAGGAAGGUGCUAGGUGUGUGCAUAUAUAUACACUUAUUAUUUUCUUGAAAGAGUAUCUAAAAUUCAGCGUGUAAGUUCUCUUUGAGGCAGGCUAGAGAAGGGAAAGAUGGGGUAAGGAGCUCUUGGAGUACUUCACAACUAUCUUCCAAGAAUUUAUUUUUAAAAGUACACACAAAAAUUGUUGAAAGUAUCCCCAUUACACCUGAGAAUAACCAUUUAACUAUCACAACUAUUUAUAUGAAGGACAGAGGAAAAUACUAUCAGAAAUAUAGCCCUAAUCUAAACUUUUUCUUGGGGCAGUAGCUCUCUUGAGCUUCUUCCAGAAUACACGCAGGGCUAUGCUGUAAUGGCAUUUGUUAUGGCUGGCAGUUUUUCAGGUUUGGAUAUAUUCAGCUCUUCUUAUCGCUACUCCCAUGCCAACAGCUAGAAACAGCCUGACUUUUUUCU